rnacentral:rRNA from 1 species
UACGUAGGGGGCAAGCGUUUGUCCGGAAUCAUUGGGCGUAAAGAGCGUGUAGGCGGCCCGGUAAGUCCGCUGUGAAAGCCCCGGGCUCAACCUGGGAACCGCGCUUGAGACUGGCACGCUCGAGUUCGGGAGAGGAUGGUGGAAUUCCCAGUGUAGAGGUGAAAUUCGUAGAUAUUGGGAAGAACACCGAUGGCGAAGGCAGCCAUCUGGACCGACACUGACGCUGAGGCGCGAAAGCGUGGGGAGCAAACAGG